rnacentral:rRNA from 1 species
AAUGAACGCUGGCGGCAGGCCUAACACAUGCAAGUCGAGCGAGCGGCGGACGGGUGAGUAAUGUAUGGGGACUGCCCGAUAGAGGGGGAUAACUACUGGAAACGGUAGCUAAUACCGCAUACUAUCGGAUAACCCAUAUGGGAUUAGCUAGUAGGUGAGGUAGUGGCUAACCUAGGCGACGCGCCCUAGCUGGUCAGAUAGGAUGAGCAGACAAACUGUGACUGAGACCCGGCCCAGACUCCUAGGGAGGAAGGAGUGGGGAAUAGUGCACAAUGGCAGCAGGCGUGAUGCAGCCAUGCCGCGUGUAUGAAGAAGGCCCUAGGGUUGUAAAGUACUUUUGGCAGAGAAGCGGUAUCUGCAGAAUAAGGACCGGCUAACUACGUGCCAGCAGCCGCGGUAAUAC